rnacentral:rRNA from 1 species
CACUCCUACGGGAGGCAGCAGUGGGGAAUUUUGGACAAUGGGCGAAAGCCUGAUCCAGCCAUGCCGCGUGCAGGAUGAAGGCCUUCGGGUUGUAAACUGCUUUUGUACGGAACGAAACGGCCUUUUCUAAUAAAGAGGGCUAAUGACGGUACCGUAAGAAUAAGCACCGGCUAACUACGUGCCAGCAGCCGCGGUAAUACGUAGGGUGCACGCGUUAAUCGGAAGUACUGGGCGUAAAGCGUGCGCAGGCGGUUAUGUAAGACAGUUGUGAAAUCCCCGGGCUCAACCUGGGAACUGCAUCUGUGACUGCAUAGCUAGAGUACGGUAGAGGGGGAUGGAAUUCCGCGUGUAGCAGUGAAAUGCGUAGAUAUGCGGAGGAACACCGAUGGCGAAGGCAAUCCCCUGGACCUGUACUGACGCUCAUGCACGAAAGCGUGGGGAGCAAACAGGAUUAGAAACCCCGGUAGUCCC